ACUACGGGGGGCAGCAGUGAGGAAUAUUGGUCAAUGGGCGCGAGCCUGAACCAGCCAAGUAGCGUGAAGGAAGACUGCCCUACGGGUUGUAAACUUCUUUUAUAAAGGAAUAAAGUGAGGCACGUGUGCCUUUUUGUAUGUACUUUAUGAAUAAGGAUCGGCUAACUCCGUGCCAGCAGCCGCGGUAAUACGGAGGAUCAGAGCGUUAACCGGAUUUAUUGGGUGUCAAGGGAGCGUAGUUGGGUUGUUAAGUCAGUGGUGAAAGUUUGGGGCUCAACCUUAAAUUUGCAAUUGAUACUUGCAGUCCUGGGUGUGGUUGAGGUAGGCGGAAUGCGUGGUGUAGCGGUGAAAUGCUUAGAUAUCACGCAGAACUCCGAUUGCGAAGGCAGCUUACUAACCUGCCACUGACAUUGAUGCUCGAAAGUGUGGGUAUCAAACAGGAUUAGAUACCCCUGUAGUC
rnacentral:rRNA from 1 species